rnacentral:rRNA from 1 species
AGAGUUUGAUCCUGGCUCAGGAUGAACGCUAGCUACAGGCUUAACACAUGCAAGUCGAGGGGAAACGAUAGAGAAAGCUUGCUUUUUCUAGGCGUCGACCGGCGCACGGGUGAGUAACGCGUAUCCAACCUGCCCACCACUUGGGGAUAACCUUGCGAAAGUAAGACUAAUACCCAAUGAUAUCUCUAGAAGACAUCUGAAAGGGAUUAAAGAUUUAUCGGUGAUGGAUGGGGAUGCGUUUGAUUAGCUUGUUGGCGGGGUAACGGCCCACCAAGGCGACGAUCAGUAGGGGUUCUGAGAGGAAGGUCCCCCACAUUGGAACUGAGACACGGUCCAAACUCCUACGGGAGGCAGCAGUGAGGAAUAUUGGUCAAUGGGCGAGAGCCUGAACCAGCCAAGUAGCGUGCAGGAUGACGGCCCUAUGGGUUGUAAACUGCUUUUAUAAGGGAAUAAAGUGAGUCUCGUGAGACUUUUUGCAUGUACCUUAUGAAUAAGGACCGGCUAAUUCCGUGCCAGCAGCCGCGGUAAUACGGAAGGUCCGGGCGUUAUCCGGAUUUAUUGGGUUUAAAGGGAGCGUAGGCCGGAGAUUAAGCGUGUUGUGAAAUGUAGACGCUCAACGUCUGCACUGCAGCGCGAACUGGUUUCCUUGAGUACGCACAAAGUGGGCGGAAUUCGUGGUGUAGCGGUGAAAUGCUUAGAUAUCACGAAGAACUCCGAUUGCGAAGGCAGCUCACUGGAGCGCAACUGACGCUGAAGCUCGAAAGUGCGGGUAUCGAACAGGAUUAGAUACCCUGGUAGUCCGCACGGUAAACGAUG